CGCGAAGAACCUUACCUAAGCUUGACAUCCUUUUGACCUCUCCCUAAUCGGAGAUUUCCCUUCGGGGACAGAAGUGACAGGUGGUGCAUGGUUGUCGUCAGCUCGUGUCGUGAGAUGUUGGGUUAAGUCCCGCAACGAGCGCAACCCUUGCCUUUAGUUGCCAGCAUUAAGUUGGGCACUCUAGAGGGACUGCCAGGGAUAACCUGGAGGAAGGUGGGGAUGACGUCAAAUCAUCAUGCCCCUUAUGCUUAGGGCUACACACGUGCUACAAUGGGUGGUACAGAGGGCAGCCAAGUCGUGAGGCGGAGCUAAUCCCUUAAAGCCAUUCUCAGUUCGGAUUGUAGGCUGAAACUCGCCUACAUGAAGCUGGAGUUACUAGUAAUCGCAGAUCAGAAUGCUGCGGUGAAUGCGUUCCCGGGUCUUGUACACACC
rnacentral:rRNA from 1 species